UGUAAGCGUAUACCAAAGUUGUUGCAGUUAAAACGCUCGUAGUCGGAAUUUGGCAGUUCCGGAUGUGUGCACGUCGUGUGCGCACUUCGCGGGGAUUGCUUUUGUGGUCUUGCGUAGGAUGAGGCACUUUUAUUAGUGAACGUCCUCACGCAACCACUUUUUACUGUGAGAAAAUCAGAGUGCUCAAAGCAGGCAUUUGCCGUGAAUGUAUUAGCAUGGAAUAAUAGAAUAGGACUUGGUUCUAUUUUGUUGGUUUGUUGGGACUGAGUAAUGAUUAAGAGGGACAGUUGGGGGCAUUUGUAUUUCGGUGCUAGAGGUGAAAUUCUUAGAUUUACGGAAGACGAACUACUGCGAAAGCAUUUACCAAGGAUGUUUUCAUUAA
rnacentral:rRNA from 1 species